GAUGAACGCUAGCGGCAGGCCUAAUACAUGCAAGCCGAACGGCAAGUUUGAUAGCAAUAUUGGACCUCGAGUGGCGCAAGGGUGCGUAACACGUAUGCAACCUGCCCUCGACAGGAGGAUAGCUCCCCGAAAGGGGAAUUAACACUCCAUAACACCAUGAGAAGGCAUCUGAGUAUUGUUAAACUGCAAGGGUUCGCGGAUGGGCAUGCGGUUGAUUAGCUAGUUGGCGGGGUAAAGGCUCACCAAGCCUGUGAUCAAUAGGGGUUCUGAGAGGAGGGUCCCGAGCACUGGCACUGCGAUACGGGCCAGACGCCUACGGGAGGCAGCAGUAGGGAAUAUGAGACAAUGGAUGCUACACUGAGCCAGCAAGGCCGAGUGCAGGAAGACGGCCUUCUGAGUCGUAACCUGCUUUUGCCUGUGGAUAAAAUACCCGUGCGCGGGGAAUUGAAGGUAACAGGUAAAUAAGCCACGGCUAACUACGUG
rnacentral:rRNA from 1 species